GAUACCCCGAGCCGCAAGGGAUUCUGGGAAACUCGUCCACAUAGUGCAGUCGCCAUAUUUGCUUGAAAUUGCUAACUUAAAGAGUAGAUGGAAAAUAACAACAUAGCGCCGUUUUAUUUGUAAAUAUCACGUUUGUUAGACGUAGCGAAAAGGGAGAGUUUGCGUUAUCUUUGUCUUAUUUGUAUCUGCAGUUCGCCGGCGGUUUAUUUGAUAACGUUUGUUUAACCACCGCGGAAAUGGGGCGCUCGAGGAGCCGCAGCUCGUCCCGGUCAAAGCACUCGAAAAGCGGCAGCAAGCACAGCAAGAAGCGCGGCAGCCGCUCCAGGUCCCGGUCCAAAGACCACGAGAGCCGCAAGAAACGCUCCCGCUCCCGGGAAGCCAAGCGGAACCGCCGCCGCGAGUCGCGUUCCAGGUCCCGGUCGAACAGAGAGCGGCCCAGACCAACGUCGCCGGUCGACAGAGUCGACAUGUUCGGCCGCACGCUGAGCAAACGCACCGCUGCUGAGGAGAAGCAGAGGAAGGAAGAGGAGGAGAAAAAGGCUGAGAUGGAGAGACAGAGGAAGAUACCCGUGCAGGGCCCCGGACGCUGCUCUGAGAACCACUGUGAUAGCAGCCGUCAGCAGGAGAUAGAGGAACGUCUGAUCGAGGAAGAGACUGCACGGAGAGUGGAAGAGCUGGUGGCACGGCGUGUGGAAGAAGAGCUAGAGAAGCGGCGCGACGAGAUCGAGCGCGAGGUGCUACGGCGUGUCGAGGAGGCCAAACGCAUCAUGGAGGCACAGCUUCUACAAGAGCUCGAGAGACAGAGGCAGGCCGAGUUGAGCGCACAGAAAGCCCGUGAGGUAACGCUCGGUCGUUUGGAACGGCCAUGUCACCCGCCGCCGUGGCACAACCCGACAUGCACCAACUCAAGAGAGGGCACAGGGAGAACGUGAGAAUAGGUUCAUCAGCGUAGAUCAGUAGAUUUAGAUAUCAUACUAAAUAAGCCAUACAUCUAGUUGUUGUGAGCAAGAAGUACAGAACUUGCAUAUGUUUAAAACAAAAGACGUACACGGUGUUGGCUUAUCGUCUCUAGUUUCGUGUCUUUAGACAGUCGGGAGAACGCGACGAGAGAAAUUACUGUAGAAGUGGAGCAGAUCAUGCUGGGCGUGCUUGAGGAUGUGCAAUGCAAAGGUUGUGUCACGGCCGCGAGAUGUUAAUCAUUUCUUUUCCUUUGUCCCUCUUUUCCACCUUCCUGGCCUUCACUCUUGAUACUUUUGCUCUCUUAUUUUUGUCAAUGUACUUCUCCUGUUUUUCAAUAAAUAAAAAAACAAACACAAAAAAAAAACUAAAAGAACACUGAUAUUUUGGGUAGGCUUUGUCUUUGUUCUUGAAUAUGCUUUCAUGUAUUUUUUCUGACAUUAAAUGAUCCGUCUUUUUGUCGUUAAAACCCGUAAACAAACUGAAAUAAUUUUUAAGCGGAUACGUAAAAUAAAUGUGUUUUGGCAUCUAGAUCUAUGUAACAAAAGCAGGUUUUUUUUUUUAUAUCGAGUCAUUAAUCCUGACACUAAUUCUCCUCCCGAUUCAACACCCCCCGGUCCUGUGGGUCAGCACUAACGGGGUUAGAUAUGUGCCCUUCUGCUGCCCAGUCCAAUUCAGACCGGUUAGAUUCAGGGCUCAGACAUACCAACAUGCUCUAUUUACCACAUGAUCUUGCUUUGUUUGCCAGCGUUUCCCUUUUUUUUUUUUUUUUUAAGUGUAGGAAUAAAUCACUGAAGCAAAAUAGUAAAUCCAGCUCUUUUUCUUUUCUUUCAAAACUUAAUCUCUAUUGGAGAGUAUAUACACAUUCUCACAUUUUCCUGUCUUUCUUUUAUAUAUUCUUGUUUGUUUUAUUUUUUUUUUAAUUCUUAUUUAUUUAAUAAUUUACUGUCUCCUAACCACAUUUAUUUUUUCUUUAUCACUUACUUUAUUCAUUGUUAAAAGUGCAGUAUUGUAAAUGUACUUCUGUGUCUUCACGACUUGCUUUUCCUCAGGAAGCUGGUUUUCGUACACACACACGCACACACACACAUGUACAACAAGAGGUCACGUAGUACACACACACACACACACGCACUCACUCUCUCUGUAGCCUCUCCACUCAGUUUCUACACUUACAAACAGAUAUUUCAUGUAACGAAUGAUCGCAUUUUUGUGUUCCUGCAGUUGUUAACACCCUUUUAACAGUAAAAGCCUGACGUCCCGCGAUUGUUCAUGUCCACACAUGGUAAUGUGUUUUACUUCCAUUCUUCACUCUCCUGUCCAACACACCAUCACUUUGACUUUACUGCAAUGUGAUAUACUGCAUGUGGUGUUGCUGUGUAAGAGCACUAGCUCGUGCUAGCGGCUCAGAGCAGAGAUUUUAAAGGGGAAGCGCAGCGCUGUCCAGGACGGGACACACGCGGGACCAGGCAGUAAAUACACCCUUUAAUCAUCAGUUGUGUAGGUACAGUGCACAGUCAAAGGAAAAAAGCGAGGAAGAAAAAUCCAAACGGGAGGAGCUG